rnacentral:ncRNA from 1 species
UGCGAUAUGCAGCGAGGUUAAAGCUUAAAAGGCUGGAAGCCGCAGCGAAAGCGAGUCUGAAGAGGGCGAAAGAGUUGCAUAGCGCAGACCCGAAACCGGGUGAGCUACCCAUGGGCAGGGUGAAGCGAGACUAACCUCUCGUGGAGGCCCGAACCGACCGUCGUUGAAAAGCCGGCGGAUGACCUGUGGGUAGGAGUGAAAAGCUAAACGAACCCGGAGAUAGCUGGUUCUCCCCGAAAUAGCUUUAGGGCUAGCCUCAGGGGAUACUUUAUGGGGGUAGAGCACUGAUCAGGCUAGGGGCGUCGACCACGUUACCGAACCUUUUCAAACUCCGAAUACCAUAAAGAGAGAACCUGGGAGUCAGACUAUGGGUGACAAGAUUCAUAGUCAAAAGGGAAAGAGCCCAGACCGCCGGCUAAGGUCCCCAAGUACAGGCUAAGUGGGAAAGGAUGUGGGGCUACCCAGACAACCAGGAUGUUGGCUUAGAAGCAGCCACCAUUCAAAGAGUGCGUAAUAGCUCACUGGUCAAGUGGCCCUGCGCCGAAAAUGUAACGGGGCUCAAGCCUGACACCAAAGCCGCGGAGUUUAGUGGUUUGUCGUUAGUGGUUAGUAGUUAGGAGAAGAAAAGAUGCCUGGAUACAAAAAAUUAACUGUCUAUCAAAAGGCAUAUCGGCAAGCAUUAAACAUACACAAAAAAAACUCAAAGCUUUCCUGCAUAUGAAAAGUAUGAACUUGGAAGUCAACUAAGGAGAGCAGCAGUAUCGAUAAUGCUAAACAUAGCCGAAGGAUACGGCAGAAGAGACGCAAAAGCAGAGUUCCAGCAUUUUUUAAGAAACGCACUCGGUUCAUGUAAUGAAGUACUUGUACUGCUUGAUUUCGUAAGAGAACUUGGCUACUUGACAGAAGCCGAGUACAAACAACUAAGCAAUGAAUACACAACAAUAGGAAAACAACUUUACCGAUUAAGACAAGCGUGGAAUCCUAACGACUAAUUACCAACGACCAACCACUAAACUGGUAGGGGAGCGUUCCAGCAGCACAGAAGGUGUACCGAAAGGUAUGCUGGAGCGGCUGGAAGUGAGAAUGCCGGUAUGAGUAGCGAGAAGGCAGGUGAGAAUCCUGCCCGCCGGAAGCCCGAGGUUUCCUGGGGAAGGCUCGUCCGCCCAGGGUAAGUCGGGACCUAAGCCGAGGCUGAAAAGCGUAGGCGAUGGACAAUCGGUGGAAAUUCCGAUACCACCGGUAAGCCGUUAAUAGCGAUGGGGUGACACAGGAGGGUAGGCACAGCGGGCCGUUGGUAGAGCCCGUCCAAGCUGGUAGGGAGACCUGAUAGGCAAACCCGUCAGGUCACAAAUCCCGAGAAGCGAGAGCGAGGGAAAAAUAAGUACCGAAGUGGCUGAUCCCACACAUGGCGAGAAAAACCUCUAGU